UUUUUUUUUUCUUUGGUGAGCGGACUGACAGAGGGAAGGGGUCUGUUCUUGUUGUUGAUGGUAACCGAGGGAAAGAAAAACUGUUGACGGAUCGGGGCUUUGGCAAUAGAAGCAAAACCGGUUGCUCUGAUACCAAGUUGAUGCCGCACAAAUGACGGAAAAAAAGGAGAAGAAGGAAGAACAAGAGAGGAAGAAGGAAGAAGAGGUUCUAGAGACACAGGAAGAAGAGAAGGGGAGGAGGAGGAGGAAGAAUAAGAUCUGGGGGAAAAGAAAUUCUUAAUCAUUCAUUAAAUUCUAAUCAUGAAAAUAGUUCCCUAUAUAUAGGGCCCAAAUACACAAUUUGCAUAAACCCCCCUUACACAGAAAUAAAUCCUAAU
rnacentral:lncRNA from 1 species